GCCUUGGUGGUAAAAUGGUAGAUAUGCGAAACACAAAAUCUCAUGCUAAAGAGCAUAGAGGUUCGAGUCCUCUUCAAGGCA
rnacentral:tRNA from 1 species